AUUGAACGCUGGCGGCAUGCCUUACACAUGCAAGUCGAACGGCAGCGCGGGGCAACCUGGCGGCGAGUGGCGAACGGGUGAGUAAUAUAUCGGAACAUACCCUAGAGUGGGGGAUAACGUAGCGAAAGUUACGCUAAUACCGCAUACGCACUAAGGUGGAAAGUGGGGGAUUCGCAAGAACCUCAUGCUCAUGGAGUGGCCGAUAUCUGAUUAGCUAGUUGGUGAGGUAAAGGCUCACCAAGGCGACGAUCAGUAGCUGGUUUGAGAGAACGACCAGCCACACUGGAACUGAGACACGGUCCAGACUCCUACGGAGGCAGCAGUGGGGAAUUUUGGACAAUGGGGGCAACCCUGAUCCAGCAAUGCCGCGUGAGUGAAGAAGGCCUUCGGUGUAAGCUCUUUGUCUAGGGAAGAAACGGUGAUUUCUAAUACAGAUUGCUAAUGACGGUACCUGAAGAA
rnacentral:rRNA from 1 species